rnacentral:lncRNA from 1 species
UGGAGAUCUUGGGAGCUUUGAUAUUUAUUUCAGGCAUCUUGAACUUGGGGCCCUUUAGUUUCGCAUCUGGACCUUCGAUAUUCACAUCAGGAACAUCAACGUCCACUUUGGGUCCUGAGACAUCAAUGUCAGCCUUGGGCAGGUUCACAUCCACAUCUGGGCCCUCUCCUUUGAAGCCAGGCAUGCUGAACUUGGGCAUUUUCACCUUGGGCAUCUUCAGGUGCCAGUCUGGGCCUUGAACAUCAACAUCUGGAGCAUUAAUGUCCACUUUGGGGCCCUUGAUGUUUAAAUCAAUGUCAGGCAUCGAUAUUUUGGG